UACGUAGGUGACCAGCGUUGUCCGGAUUUACUGGGCGUAAAGAGCGCGCAGGCGGUCGUACAAGUCGCGUGUGAAAGCCCCUGGCUCAACUGGGGAGGGUCACGCGAUACUGUUCGACUCGAAGGCAGGAGAGGGAAGUGGAAUUCCCGGUGUAGUGGUGAAAUGCGUAGAUAUCGGGAGGAACACCAGUGGCGAAGGCGACUUCCUGGCCUGUUCUUGACGCUGAGGCGCGAAAGCUAGGGUAGCAAACGGG
rnacentral:rRNA from 1 species